GGGCAAUUAGCUCAGCGGUAGAGCAUCUCGCUUACACCGAGAGGGUCGGCGGUUCGAAUCCGUCAUUGCCCACC
rnacentral:tRNA from 1 species